rnacentral:tRNA from 2 species
GCCAGGGUAGCUCAGUUGGUAGAGCAACAGUUUUGUAAACUGUGGGUCAGGAGUCCGAGUCUCCUCCCUGGCU